CAAGAGCCUGAGUAGACAGCAGCGGUGACCUUUGGUAGCAUCUCAAAAGACACCUACACGAUGGAACAUGCCCAGGGAUUUGGAAAACCGGAAGGACCUGCUUCUGUCUGAAUUAUGGAGUCUGGCACUAGGAUGAUCCUCUCAGGACAUAUUCCCAGAAGUGGACUUCCUCAGUGACAGGCAGUGACCAGCUUGAUAUCUGCUGUCAAAUUUCUUCCAAAAACCUUCCACCAUGACUUUCAGCAGCAAGGACUGAAAGAGCCAGUUCUGCAGUUCUGCAUGAAGCCUCUCCAAGCCGGGGUUCUAUUUUGAAAUAGCUUUGCUAAUUCCCAGAAGACCCUGCUGUGUGUAUGACUCUCUGUUUAGCCAAAAAAGAAGUCGUGGUUUUGAAUAGCCUCGGUGUGACUGUUCUCAGUGAGAACGAGGGUACCAGAUCGCCACCGCCUGGCCAGCAGUAGCCCCAGCACGUUCACCACGGUGGAGGUGGGUGCCUUGAGAGGUAGUUCACAACACCGAGCUGGCCCCGGAGUCGGCAUACAUCUUCAGGCUGCCGGCCAAGACGAGGCAGGGCUGGUCGAGCCGCUGGAGGGCCCCGUCAUCACCACUGAGAAGAGAGCCUCCAAGAGACGAGAGCCUGAACAGCCUUCUUCAGGAAUACCAGAUCUACUACUGGGAGCUGGAGUCAGAGGUAUCCUCAGCCACCGUGUCCAAGAUGCUCAAAACCGCUUCGGCUUUACAGGCUGAGCUCCCAGAAAUGUGGCCCUGCCUACUGACAAACAUCCUAUGCUGGCAUAUUAAAAUGCCCUAUGCCUCCCAAUGUCCAUAUAUCUCUGAACCCAAAUUAUAAGUGAUCCUUUGGCCCAACAUAUUGCUCAGGCCGUAGGACUCAGCCAGACUCCCACUUUAAAGAAGAGAAUAUUUGAGACACAGGAUCCUCUGAGACACAGGAUCUGAAUGGCCUCAAGGCUGAACCUAGUAUGGAAAAAGGGCCAAUGGAUGGAAAUGGAUACAGACGGCCAGAGUUCUUCAAUAGAGAUGAGAAUGUGAUUAUGAUGAAAAUGAAGUGACUAGGACAAUUUCCUAGCGAGCUAACCAUUUCAGGAACAAGAAACAUGUGUGGGCUUGGGCAAAGGGAACCUCCCUUGGCUACCCCUAGGAACCUUGUCAGCAAGAGGCCCGAAUUCUUCCUGCCGAAAGAGAGAGGAUCCUUCUGGCCUUGCCUGUUUUUCCUGUCCUUCACAUCAGUGAAUACAGGAGACGGUGACCCUCUGACCCUGAGACCCUGACACUGAGGAUGCUGAGUCACCACAGGCUGCACCCACACAGCUGGAAAGAACAGGGAGAGACACAAAUGGAGUGCCUGGAAUCUCCAAAUAUCCUGGAAAUCAGGGUGGUCAAAGAGCAAGGCUCCUGUCCCAACCAGACCCCUCCUCCUGACCCUCAGGAUCCAGCACCUGGACAGUAAGUGAAGAAGGAGAGAAAAGAGACAGGAGUCCAGGCCAUGGAGAUGCCCAGGACUGCAAGAACACAGAGCAAGACCAGAGCAGCUUCAAGUCUGUCAUAUCACCCCCAGGGGAAUGGAGGCACAUUAUGCAAAUUACCACUCCCCAGGCUGUCCCACCCCCAUGGAGGUCUGAGCACAGGUCCCCAGACAGGGAGACAGGGCUGGUUCUCACUGGUCUCCCAGGCCCACCCCCAGGUGGAUCUGUGAUGGGGCAGCACCUGGAAAGGAUCCAGGGCUUCAUCAGAGCCUGUCCACCUACACCCCAGCCUGUCUUCUAGAGGAAGGAUAGGGACCAGCAUUGGUGGACAACCUGCCGAUCGUAUCUACAGAGGCAUCUUCUGCUCAGUCCAGACCCACCUUCCUGUGUGUAAUGUGGGGGGUGGGGCUGUGAGGAAGUCCCUCCCAGGGAACCUAUCCUGUGUUCCCCAGAGCAGGACAGAGGACAGAGAGGGCUCAGCCCCAGCAGCCCCAUUUAGAAGCUACAUGAAGCCUGGCUCCCUCCCAUCUGUCCCCUAAUUCCCAUGUGAGUGAACGAGGUGCUCCUUCCAAGUUCCCCUCUUUUCUCACCCUCUCCCACCCCAAUGGGGAGGAGCUUGACCAUCAUCACAAGGAAGUUGUUCAGAGGCUGACCUCACUACCUGAGUAUCCGGCUCAUCCUGAGAAAGACCAUCCUCAGGGAAUUUGAGGAGCCCCUAGCCCUCCCAGGACAAAUCUAGGAGUACAAGGGCCUGAGGGCAGACCCAAAGUGAUGACAUGUCCCAAACAGGAAGAGAAAGACAGGGACACACAGAACUGGGCACUUAAGACUGAGGGAACACGUUAUAGGAAGAAAGGAGGUGAGCAGCACAGGUGUCUGUGUGAAGGACUCUGAUGGAACAAGGCAUGUGGUGGUCAUCCUCCACUCCUGAUGCGUCUCAUGAAAGCCAUGUGGACUGGUCCUUGAGGAAACCGACAAUUGCUCAAUAUUCCUCCUGUUGUUUCUGUGAGGGCAUUUGGGGUGAAUUAUCAUUUGACUGCUCACACCAAGGUGAGCUGAGGGCCCUCUCUAGGGUGUGGUGUCCUCACCCUUCAACUGAAGGCCUCAAUAGAACAGAAAGGCUGAAUGAGAGGGAACUCCUCUGCUAUAGAUCAUUUUUCUGGAUCAGUUUUACACAGACUCACUAAUUAUGUCAUGAAACUGUACACUUUUAACAAUCUUAUUUUUAUUUCUUUUUGUUUUCUUAAUUUAAAUUCAAUUAUCCAACGUAUACUACAUCAUUAGUUUCUGGUGUAGUGAUCAGUGAUUCAUCAGUUCAUAGAACACUCAGUGCUCAUCACAUCAUGUGCACAGUUACCCCAUCCCCCCACAUACCUCCCCUUCUGCAUCCCUCAGUUUGUUUCCCAGAGUCAAGAAUCUCUUGUGGUUUGUCUCCCUCUUUGAUUUCUUCCCAUUCAGUUUCCCUUCCCUUCUCCUAUGAUCCUCUGCACUAUUUCUUAUAUUCCACAUAUAAGUGAAACCAUAUGAUAAUUGUCUUUCUCCGAUUGACUUAUUUCACUUAGCAGAAUACCCUCCAGUUCCAUCCAUGUCGAUGUAAAUGGUAGGUGUUCGUCUUUUCUAAUGGCUAAGUAAUAUUCCAUGAACCACAUCUUCUUUAUCAAUUCAUCUGUUGAAGGACAACUUUAUUUUUUAAAUGAUAACAGCAAAGAAAUGUCCGUCAAUUUGGCAAAUGUAAGAUCACAGAUAAUUUUAAUUGAUGAUUUUGAGAGGAUUUUUUUUUUUUGCUGGUGAAAACACAAGUACAACUUUUGAGAGUAUUUUAGUGGCUAUGAUGACAUUCGACAAAUUACUUCGAAAGAUAUAUUCUAUUACAAUAGAUGCAGAAAAAGCAUUUGACAAAGUACAGCAUCCUCUCUUGAUCAAAACUCUUCAGAGUAUAGGGAUAGAGGGUAUAUACCUCAAUAUCAUAAAAGCCAUCUAUGAAAAACCCACAGCUAAUAUCAUUCUCAAUGAGGAAAAACUGAGAGCUUUCCCCCUAAGGUCAGGAAUGCGGCAGGGAUGUCCACUAUCACCACUGCUAUUCAACAUAGUAUUAGAAGUCCUAGCCACAGCAAUCAGACAACAAAAAAAUAAAUAAAAGGCAUUCAAAUCGGCAAAGAAGAAGUCAAAUUCUCUUUGCAGACGGUAUGAUACUUUAUGUGGAAAACCCAAAAGACUCCACCCCAAAACUGCUAGAACUCAUACAGGAAUUCAGUAAAGUGGCAGGAUGUAAAAUCAAUGCACAGAAAUCAGUGGCAUUCCUAUAUACCAACAACAAGACAGAAGAAAGAGAAAUGAAGGAGCUGAUCCCAUUUACAAUUGCACCCAAAACCAUAAGAUACCUAGGAAUAAAUCUAACCAAAGAGGCAAAGAAUCUGCAUUCAGAAAAUUAUAAAAUAGUCAUGAAAGAAACUGAGGAAGACACAAAGAAAUGGAAAAACGUUCCACGCUCAUGGAUUGGAAGAACAAAUAUUGUGAAGAUGUCAGUGCUACCUAGAGCAAUCUACACAUUCAGUGCAAUCCCUAUCAAAAUACCAUCCAGUGUUUUCAAAGAAAUGGAACAAAUAAUCCUAAAAUUUGUAUGGAACCAGAAAGACCCUGAAUAGCCAGAGGAAUGUUGAAAAAGAAAAGCAAAGCUGGCGGCAUCACAAUUCCGGGCUUCAAGCUCUAUUACAAAGCUGUCAUCAUCAAGACAGUAUGGUACUGGCACAAAAACAGACACAUAGAUCAAUGGAACGGAAUGGAGAGCCAGAAAUGGACCCUCAACUCUAUGGUCAACUCAUCUUUGACAAAGCAGGAAAGAAUGUCCAAUGGAAAAAAGACAGUCUCUUCAACAAAUGGUGUUGGGAAAAUUGGACAGCCACAUGCAGAAGAAUGAAACUGGACCAUUUCCUUACACCACACACAAAAAUAGACUCCAAAUGGUUGAAAGACCUCAAUGUGAGACAGGAGUCCAUCAGAAUCCUAAAGGAGAACACAGGCAGCAACCUCUUCUACCUCAGCUGCAGCAACUUCUUCCUAGAAACAUCGCCAAAGGCAAGGGAAGCAAGGGCAAAAGUGAACUAUUGGGACCUCAUCAAGAUAAAAAGCUUUUGCACAGCAAAAGAAACAGUCAACAAAACCAAAAGACAACCGACAGAAUGGGAGAAGAUAAUUGCAAAUGACAUAUCAGAUAAAGGGCUAGUAUCCAAAAUCUAUAAAGAACAUCCUAAAGUCAACACCCAAAGAACAAAUGAUCCAAUCAAGAAAUGGGCAGAAGACAUGAACAGACAUUUUUCCAAAGAAGACAUCCCAACUGGCCAACAGACACAUGAAAAAGUGCUCAACAUCACUCGGCAUCAGGGAAAUCCAAAUCAAAACCUCAAUGAGAUAUCACCUCACACCAGUCAGAAUGGCUAAAAUUAACAAGUCAGGAAAUGACAGAUGUUGGCGGGGAUGCGAAGAAAGGGGAACCCUCCUACACUGUUGGUGGGAAUGCAAGCUCGUGCAGCCACUUUGGAAAACAGUAUGGAGGUUCCUCAAAUAGUUGAAAAUAGAGCUACCAUAUGAUCCAGGGUAUUUACCCAAAAGAUACAAAUGUAGGGAUCCGAAGGGGUACAUGCACCCCGAUGUUUAUAGCAGCAAUGUCCACAAUAGCCAAACUGUGGAAAGAGCCAAGAUGUCCAUCGACAGAUGAUUGAAUAGUGGUAUAUAUAUAUACAAUGGAAUAUUAUGCAGCUAUCAAAAGGAAUGAGAUCUUGCCUUUUGCAACGAUGUGGAUGGAACUGCAGGGCGUUAUGCUGAGCGAAAUAAGUCAAUCAGAGAAAGACAUGUAUCGUAUGACCUCACUGAU